GGGGGGGGGGGGGGGGGGGGGGGGGGGGGGGGGGGGGGGGGGGGGGGGGGUGGGUGGGUGGGGGGCGGGGGGGGCGGGGGGGUGGGUAGGACGGGAGUAGGCGGCCCUUGGGUGUGGGAUGCCUUCGGGGCACGGGGGCUAGUACCGGAUGGGGGCUCCUGCUGCAUGGUGGGGGUUGGACGGUUUCGGCGGUUGGGGAUGGACUCGCGGCUUAUCAGCUUGGUGGUGGGGUAGUGGCUUAGCAAGGCUUUGCCGGGUAGCCGGCCUGAGAGGGUGCCCGGCCACAUUGGGACUGAGAUACGGCCCAGACUCCUACGGGAGGCAGCAGUGGGGAAUAUUGCACAAUGGGCGGAAGCCUGAUGCAGCAACGCCGCGUGCGGGAUGACGGCCUUCGGGUUGUAAACCGCUUUCGCCUGUGACGAAGCGUGAGUGACGGUAAUGGGUAAAGAAGCACCGGCUAACUACGUG
rnacentral:rRNA from 1 species